AGAGUUUGAUCCUGGCUCAGGAUGAACGCUGGCGGCGUGCUUAAUACAUGCAAGUCGAACGAAUUGAAGAUGUGCUUGCACAUCUGAUGUUAGUGGCGAACGGGUGAGUAAUACAUAGGCAACUUGCCCCAAGGACUGGGAUAACACUUAGAAAUGAGUGCUAAUACCGGAUAGGUAAUACAAAGGCAUCUUAGUAUUAUUAAAGUUGGGUAUCCAACACCAUGGGAUGGGCUUAUGCUGUAUUAGCUAGUUGGUGAGAUAAAAGCCCACCAAGGCGAUGAUACAUAGCUGGUCUGAGAGGAUGAACAGCCACAUUGGGACUGAGACACGGCCCAGACUCCUACGGGAGGCAGCAGUAAGGAAUUUUCGGCAAUGGAGGAAACUCUGACCGAGCAACGCCGCGUGAGUGAUGAAGGCCUUCGGGUUGUAAAGCUCUGUUGUAAAGGAAGAAUGUAUAGAAAAGGAAAUGUUUCUAUAGUGACGGUACUUUACUAGAAAGUCACGGCUUACUACGUGCCAGCAGCCGCGGUAAUACGUAGGUGGCAAGCGUUAUCCGGAUUUAUUGGGCGUAAAGGGUGCGCAGGCGGAUUGUUAAGUUCGAGGUGAAAGCGUUGGGCUCAACCCAAUAUAGCCUUAAAUACUGGCAAUCUAGAGUGCAGAAGAGGGUAAUGGAAUUCCAUGUGUAGCGGUAAAAUGCGUAGAUAUAUGGAGGAACACCAGCGGCGAAGGCGGUUACCUGGUCUGUAACUGACGCUCAGGCACGAAAGCGUGGGGAGCAAAUAGGAUUAGAUACCCUAGUAGUCCACGCCCUAAACGAUGAGUACUAGAUGUUGGAUUUUCAGUGUCGCAGCUAACGCAUUAAGUACUCCGCCUGAGGAGUAUGCACGCAAGUGUGAAACUUAAAGGAAUUGACGGGGCCCCGCACAAGCGGUGGAGUAUGUGGUUUAAUUCGACGCAACGCGAAGAACCUUA
rnacentral:rRNA from 1 species